UACGUAGGGGGCUAGCGUUGUCCGGAUUUAUUGGGCGUAAAGAGCGUGUAGGCGGCCGAGUAAGUCCGGUGUGAAAACUCGAGGCUUAACCUCGAGAUGUCAUCGGAAACCAUCUGGCUAGAGUCCGGAAGAGGAAAGUGGAAUUCCUGGUGUAGCGGUGAAAUGCGCAGAUAUCAGGAAGAACACCAAUGGCGAAAGCAGCUUUCUGGGACGGUACUGACGCUGAGACGCGAAAGCGUGGGGAGCGAACAGG
rnacentral:rRNA from 1 species